rnacentral:lncRNA from 1 species
CAGAAAUGGUUCGAAUAGUUUUUUUUUUACCAUACAUUAUUCUCAUAGGGGAUUUUAGAAACACUUCAAAUAAGGGCUGUGUUUCGUGUAGGCUUACCCUGGGAGGGACAUUUUGAUAACUGUGUAAAUCUCUCUCGAACAAGAACUACAAAUGCCUGUCUCAAGCUUAGCAUCACCCACCAGGGCCAUGAUGAUCUGGACUAGACUGCCGAAACGAGGCAAAGGAACAGGGCACCAUCAAAAGGAGUGAUUUAUGGGGUAGCGUGGAGCAAUUGAAGUUGAAGUCCCCUGGUGUUUGUGACGCCCGCCGUUUGGUGCAAUGCGGACCUGGUGGUGAGCGUGGUGAAACAGAGGAGUCACUGUCAGUACGUUUUAGUUUUGAGUCAGUCUUUACCUGACAAAGUCCUGUUAGGAUGUAUCAGUUAUCCUGUUAGAGCUUGUGUGCUGAAUCCAUAAAACCCCAUUUUAUGUUUAUUCCAUGGCCAACCAUCCCUCUAGCUACCCCUUAUUCUACACUAUGCCUUUCAUGCCCCAUGGUCCCUCAACUUCAGACCCUUUUAACUCUCCAUCUUAUUGCUGUAAACCCACCCUUCCUUCACUUGUUGUUCUCCUGAUUGGAUAACAUCUAGACUAUGUUGUGGUGUACUUUCUUUCACCUAUGUAAUGCUUUCCUCCUUCUGCUUAUUCUGGGGUUCAGACUGAAUGCAGUGGUAAAUGUGCUGCUCACAAUUGAUAGCGGCAACAUGGAGCUUUUACAUUUACCAGAAGGAUGUUGAUAUAGCUGCGUUUAGGCAUGGCUUGCUUGUUUUGAGUCUAUGUGUGUUUCUCAUUCUGCUGGAGUAGUAUUUUAUAUAAAAGCUACCUUACACAUUCAGUUGUUUCUCCAUUUGUAACUCACCGACCAAAAAUGACAAUAUACUGUUUUACAUGGCGUUAUUUGUGCUGGUCUAAUUCCUAAAUAUGGAAAAUCAGAAGAAUCUGUGUGCUCUCUGAUAGUAAUACUAGUUCAUAUGGUGCUCUUCAAUGUCCCAGGUUUGUGGUGUUGAUGGUGAAGAAAUCAUUUCAUCUUUACUUACAUUCAGAUGUUUAUAUGUUAUGUAUAAAAGGCAUAUGUAUGCAUUGUUUACUAUUUAGAUUUCAUUAAAACAAUUGAAUUGUUGGAGUUAAGGUGUUUGACAUGAUUGAUGGGUGACUAGGUGCAUUCUUGUCAAAUAA